rnacentral:rRNA from 1 species
CCAUAUCACAUUGAAACACCAGUUUUUAUAUAAUCACCAAAGUUAAGCAGCAUCAAGCCAGGUCAGUACUUAGAUGGGUGACUGCUUGGGAAUACCAGGUACUGUAA